rnacentral:rRNA from 1 species
UACAGGGGGUGCAAACGUUGCUCGGAAUCAUUGGGCGUAAAGCGCACGUAGGCGGUUCGUUAUGUCGGAUGUGAAAGCCCUUGGCUUAACCGAGGAAGUGCAUCCGAAACUGGCGAGCUAGAGUACUAAAGAGGAUCGCGGAAUUCCCGGUGUAGAGGUGAAAUUCGUAGAUAUCGGGAGGAACACCGAUGGCGAAGGCAGCCCCCUGGGCCAAUACUGACGCUCAUGCACGAAAGCGUGGGGAGCAAACAGG